rnacentral:rRNA from 1 species
UACGAAGGUGGCAAGCGUUGUUCGGAUUUACUGGGCGUACAGGGCGCGUAGGCGGUUGGGUCAGCCCUCCGUGAAAUCUCCAGGCUUAACCUGGAAAGUGCAGAGGGGACUGUUCAGCUAGAGGAUGGGAGAGGAGCGCGGAAUUCCCGGUGUAGCGGUGAAAUGCGUAGAGAUCGGGAGGAAGGCCGGUGGCGAAGGCGGCGCUCUGGAACAUUUCUGACGCUGAGGCUCGAAAGCGUGGGGAGCAAACAGG